UACGUAGGGUGCAAGCGUUGUCCGGAAUUAUUGGGCGUAAAGAGCUCGUAGGCGGUCUGUCGCGUCGAAUGUGAAAACCCGGGGCUCAACCCCGGGCCUGCAUUCGAUACGGGCAGACUAGAGUUCGGUAGGGGAGUCUGGAAUUCCUGGUGUAGCGGUGAAAUGCGCAGAUAUCAGGAGGAACACCGGUGGCGAAGGCGGGUCUCUGGGCAGUAACUGACGCUGAGGAGCGAAAGCGUGGGGAGCGAACGGG
rnacentral:rRNA from 1 species